rnacentral:rRNA from 1 species
AGCGAACGCUGGCGGCAGGCUUAACACAUGCAAGUCGAACGCCCCGCAAGGGGAGUGGCAGACGGGUGAGUAACACGUGGGAACGUACCCUUUGGUUCGGAAUAACUUGGGGAAACUCAAGCUAAUACCGGAUAAGCCCUUAUGGGGAAAGGUUUACUGCCGAAGGAUCGGCCCGCGUCUGAUUAGCUAGUUGGUGAGGUAACGGCUAACCAAGGCGACGAUCAGUAGCUGGUCUGAGAGGAUGAUCAGCCACACUGGGACUGAGACACGGCCCAGACUCCUACGGGAGGCAGCAGUGGGGAAUAUUGGACAAUGGGGGCAACCCUGAUCCAGCCAUGCCGCGUGAGUGAUGAAGGCCUUAGGGUUGUAAAGCUCUUUUACCCGGGACGAUAAUGACUGUACCGGGAGAAUAAGCCCCGGCUAACUUCGUGCCAGCAGCCGCCGUAACAC